CCCUAAACGAUGUCUACUAGUUGUCGGGUUUUAAUUAACUUGGUAACGCAGCUAACGCGUGAAGUAGACCGCCUGGGGAGUACGGUCGCAAGAUUAAAACUCAAAGGAAUUGACGGGGACCCGCACAAGCGGUGGAUGAUGUGGAUUAAUUCGAUGCAACGCGAAAAACCUUACCUACCCUUGACAUGUACGGAAGGCCGAAGAGAUUUGGUUGUGCUCGAAAGAGAACCGUAACACAGGUGCUGCAUGGCUGUCGUCAGCUCGUGUCGUGAGAUGUUGGGUUAAGUCCCGCAACGAGCGCAACCCUUGUCAUUAGUUGCUACAUUUAGUUGAGCACUCUAAUGAGACUGCCGGUGACAAACCGGAGGAAGGUGGGGAUGACGUCAAGUCCUCAUGGCCCUUAUGGGUAGGGCUUCACACGUCAUACAAUGGUACAUACAGAGGGCCGCCAACCCGCGAGGGGGAGCUAAUCCCAGAAAGUGUAUCGUAGUCCGGAUCGCAGUCUGCAACUCGACUGCGUGAAGUUGGAAUCGCUAGUAAUCGCGGAUCAGCAUGUCGCGGUGAAUACGUUCCCGGGUCUUGUACACACCGCCCGUCACACCAUGGGAGCGGGUUUUACCAGAAGUAGGUAGCUUAACCGCAAGGAGGGCGCUUACCACGGUAGGAUUCGUGACUGGGGUGAAGUCGUAACAAGGUAGCCGUAUCGGAAGGUGCC
rnacentral:rRNA from 1 species